UACAGAGGUCUCAAGCGUUUGUUCGGAUUCAUUGGGCGUAAAGGGUGCGUAGGCGGCGUGGUAAGUCGGAUGUGAAAUCUCGGAGCUUAACUCCGAAACUGCAUUCGAUACUGCCGUGCUUGAGGACUGGAGAGGAGACUGGAAUUUACGGUGUAGCGGUGGAAUGCGCAGAUAUCAGGAGGAACACCGGUGGCGAAGGCGGUUCUCUGGGCAUGACCUGACGCUGGAGGAGCGAAAGCAUGGGGAGCGAACAGG
rnacentral:rRNA from 1 species